AGAGUUUGAUCCUGGCUCAGAUUGAACGCUGGCGGAAUGCUUUACACAUGCAAGUCGAACGAUGAAGUCUAGCUUGCUAGACGGAUUAGUGGCGAACGGGUGAGUAAUAUAUCGGAACGUAUCCAUUAAUGGGGGAUAACUAGUCGAAAGAUUGGCUAAUACCGCAUACGUCCUACGGGAGAAAGCUAGGGACCUUCGGGCCUGGCGUUAAUGGAGCGGCCGAUAUCUGAUUAGCUAGUUGGUGAGGUAAAGGCUCACCAAGGCGACGAUCAGUAGCUGGUCUGAGAGGACGACCAGCCACACUGGAACUGAGACACGGUCCAGACUCCUACGGGAGGCAGCAGUGGGGCAUUUUGGACAAUGGGCGCAAGCCUGAUCCAGCCAUUCCGCGUGAGUGAAGAAGGCCUUCGGGUUGUAAAGCUCUUUCGCAAGGGAAGAAAACUUACUCUCUAACAUAGGGUGAGGAUGACGGUACCUUGAUAAGAAGCACCGGCUAACUACGUGCCAGCAGCCGCGGUAAUACGUAGGGUGCGAGCGUUAAUCGGAAUUACUGGGCGUAAAGCGUGCGCAGGCUGUUUUGUAAGUCAGAUGUGAAAUCCCUGGGCUCAACCUAGGAACUGCGUUUGAAACUACAAGACUAGAAUAUGUCAGAGGGGGGUAGAAUUCCACGUGUAGCAGUGAAAUGCGUAGAGAUGUGGAGGAAUACCAAUGGCGAAAGCAGCCCCCUGGGAUAAUAUUGACGCUCAUGCACGAAAGCGUGGGGAGCAAACGGGAUUAGAUACCCUGGUAGUCCACGCCCUAAACGAUGUCUACUAGUUGUUGGUGGAGUAAAAUCCAUGAGUAACGCAGCUAACGCGUGAAGUA
rnacentral:rRNA from 1 species